GAUGAACGCUAGCUACAGGCUUAACACAUGCAAGUCGAGGGGCAGCAUGGUCUUAGCUUGCUAAGGCCGAUGGCGACCGGCGCACGGGUGAGUAACACGUAUCCAACCUGCCGUCUACUCUUGGACAGCCUUCUGAAAGGAAGAUUAAUACAAGAUGGCAUCAUGAGUCCGCAUGUUCACAUGAUUAAAGGUAUUCCGGUAGACGAUGGGGAUGCGUUCCAUUAGAUAGUAGGCGGGGUAACGGCCCACCUAGUCUUCGAUGGAUAGGGGUUCUGAGAGGAAGGUCCCCCACAUUGGAACUGAGACACGGUCCAAACUCCUACGGGAGGCAGCAGUGAGGAAUAUUGGUCAAUGGGCGAGAGCCUGAACCAGCCAAGUAGCGUGAAGGAUGACUGCCCUAUGGGUUGUAAACUUCUUUUAUAAAGGAAUAAAGUCGGGUAUGGAUACCCGUUUGCAUGUACUUUAUGAAUAAGGAUCGGCUAACUCCGUGCCAGCAGCCGCGGUAAUACGGAGGAUCCGAGCGUUAUCCGGAUUUAUUGGGUUUAAAGGGAGCGUAGAUGGAUGUUUAAGUCAGUUGUGAAAGUUUGCGGCUCAACCGUAAAAUUGCAGUUGAUACUGGAUAUCUUGAGUGCAGUUGAGGCAGGCGGAAUUCGUGGUGUAGCGGUGAAAUGCUUAGAUAUCACGAAGAACUCCGAUUGCGAAGGCAGCCUGCUAAGCUGCAACUGACAUUGAGGCUCGAAAGUGUGGGUAUCAAACAGGAUUAGAUACCCUGGUAGUCCACACGGUAAACGAUGAAUACUCGCUGUUUGCGAUAUACUGCAAGCGGCCAAGCGAAAGCGUUAAGUAUUCCACCUGGGGAGUACGCCGGCAACGGUGAAACUCAAAGGAAUUGACGGGGGCCCGCACAAGCGGAGGAACAUGUGGUUUAAUUCGAUGAUACGCGAGGAACCUUACCCGGGCUUAAAUUGCAGAUGAAUUACGGUGAAAGCCGUAAGCCGCAAGGCAUCUGUGAAGGUGCUGCAUGGUUGUCGUCAGCUCGUGCCGUGAGGUGUCGGCUUAAGUGCCAUAACGAGCGCAACCCUUGUUGUCAGUUACUAACAGGUUCCGCUGAGGACUCUGACAAGACUGCCAUCGUAAGAUGUGAGGAAGGUGGGGAUGACGUCAAAUCAGCACGGCCCUUACGUCCGGGGCUACACACGUGUUACAAUGGGGGGGUACAGAGGGCCGCUACCACGCGAGUGGAUGCCAAUCCCCAAAGCCUCUCUCAGUUCGGACUGGAGUCUGCAACCCGACUCCACGAAGCUGGAUUCGCUAGUAAUCGCGCAUCAGCCACGGCGCGGUGAAUACGUUCCCGGGCCU
rnacentral:rRNA from 1 species